UUGCGCAGUAUAGGUGGGAGGCAAAGAAGAUAUGUUUGUGGAUGUAUCUGAGCCACUAGUGAGAUACCACUCUGAUUAAACUAGAAUUCUAAUAUUGAUUGCCAUAAGCUGGCCAAUAGACAGUUUCAGGUGGGCAGUUUGACUGGGGCGGUCGCCUCCUAAAAGGUAACGGAGGCGUGCAAAGGUUUCCUCAGGCUGGUCGGAAAUCAGUCGUAGAGUAUAAAGGCAUAAGGAAGCUUGACUGCGAGACCUACAAGUCGAGCAGAGACGAAAGUCGGCCUUAGUGAUCCGACAGUACUG
rnacentral:rRNA from 1 species